UGCCAGCAGCCGCGGUAAUACGGAGGGGGUUAGCGUUGUCCGGAAUUAUUGGGCGUAAAGAGCACGUAGGCUGCCCGGUUAGUCCGCUGUAAAAGUCAAAGGCUCAACCUUUGAAUGCCGGUGGAUACUGCCGGGCUAGAGUCCGGAAGAGGCGAGUGGAAUUCCUGGUGUAGCGGUGGAAUGCGCAGAUAUCAGGAGGAACACCCAUAGCGAAGGCAGCUCGCUGGGACGGUACUGACGCUGAGGUGCGAAAGCGUGGGGAGCAAACAGGAUUAGAUA
rnacentral:rRNA from 1 species